GUGUCAGCAGCCGCGGUAAUACCGGCAGCACGAGUGAUGACCGCUAUUAUUGGGCCUAACGCGUCCGUAGCUGGCCGCACAAGUCCAUCGGAAAAUCCACCCGCCCAACGGGUGGGCGUCCGGUGGAAACUGUGUGGCUUGGGACCGGAAGGCGCGACGGGUACGUCCGGGGUAGGAGUGAAAUCCUGUAAUCCUGGACGGACCGCCGAUGGCGAAAGCACGUCGCGAGGACGGAUCCGACAGUGAGGGACGAAAGCCAGGGUCUCGAACCGGAUUAGAUACCCUUGUAGUCC
rnacentral:rRNA from 1 species